UACGUAGGGUGCGAGCGUUGUCCGGAAUUAUUGGGCGUAAAGGGCUCGUAGGCGGUCUGUCGCGUCGGGAGUGAAAACACGGGGCUUAACCCCGUGCCUGCUUCCGAUACGGGCAGACUAGAGGUCGGUAGGGGAGUGUGGAAUUCCUGGUGGAGCGGUGAAAUGCGCAGAUAUCAGGAGGAACACCCGUAGCGAAGGCGGCACUCUGGGCCGAUACUGACACUGAGGAGCGAAAGCGUGGGGAGCGAACAGG
rnacentral:rRNA from 1 species